AACGAACGCUGGCGGCAUGCCUAACACAUGCAAGUCGAACGAUUGCCUUCGGGUGAUAGUGGCGCACGGGUGCGUAACGCGUGGGAAUCUGCCCUUAGGUUCGGAAUAACAGCUGGAAACGGCUGCUAAUACCGGACGAUAUCGCGAGAUCAAAGAUUUAUCGCCUGAGGAUGAGCCCGCGUUGGAUUAGGUAGUUGGUGGGGUAAAGGCCUACCAAGCCGACGAUCCAUAGCUGGUCUGAGAGGAUGAUCAGCCACACUGGGACUGAGACACGGCCCAGACUCCUACGGGAGGCAGCAGUGGGGAAUAUUGGACAAUGGGCGCAAGCCUGAUCCAGCAAUGCCGCGUGAGUGAUGAAGGCCCUAGGGUUGUAAAGCUCUUUUACCCGGGAAGAUAAUGACUGUACCGGGAGAAUAAGCCCCGGCUAACUCCGUG
rnacentral:rRNA from 1 species